UGGGGAAUAUUGGACAAUGGGGGCAACCCUGAUCCAGCAAUGCCGCGUGUGUGAAGAAGGUCUUCGGAUUGUAAAGCACUUUCGACGGGGACGAUGAUGACGGUACCCGUAGAAGAAGCCCCGGCUAACUUCGUGCCAGCAGCCGCGGUAAUACGAAGGGGGCUAGCGUUGCUCGGAAUGACUGGGCGUAAAGGGCGUGUAGGCGGUUUACACAGUCAGAUGUGAAAUCCCCGGGCUUAACCUGGGAGCUGCAUUUGAUACGUGUAGACUAGAGUGUGAGAGAGGGUUGUGGAAUUCCCAGUGUAGAGGUGAAAUUCGUAGAUAUUGGGAAGAACACCGGUGGCGAAGGCGGCAACCUGGCUCAUGACUGACGCUGAGGCGCGAAAAGCGUGGGGAGCAAACAGGAUUAGAUACCCUGGUAGUCCACGCUGUAAACGAUGUGUGCUAGAUGUUGGGUAACUUUGUUAUUCAGUGUCGCAGUUAACGCGUUAAGCACACCGCCUGGGGAGUACGGCCGCAAGGUUGAA
rnacentral:rRNA from 1 species